rnacentral:rRNA from 1 species
ACACGUGGGCAACCUGCCUAUAAGACUGGGAUAACUUCGGGAAACCGGAGCUAAUACCGGAUACCUUCUUUUCUCGCAUGAGAGAAGAUGGAAAGACGGUUUACGCUGUCACUUAUAGAUGGGCCCGCGGCGCAUUAGCUAGUUGGUGAGGUAAUGGCUCACCAAGGCGACGAUGCGUAGCCCACCUGAGAGGGUGAUCGGCCACACUGGGACUGAGACACGGCCCAGACUCCUACGGGAGGCAGCAGUAGGGAAUCUUCCGCAAUGGACGAAAGUCUGACGGAGCAACGCCGCGUGAACGAAGAAGGCCUUCGGGUCGUAAAGUUCUGUUGUUAGGGAAGAACAAGUACCAGAGUAACUGCUGGUACCUUGACGGGACCUAACCAGAAAGCCACGGCUAACUACGUGCCAGCAGCCGCGGUAAUACGUAAGUGGCAAGCGUUGUCCGGAAUUAUUGGGCGUAAAGCGCGCGCAGGUGGUUCCUUAAGUCUGAUGUGAAAGCCCACGGCUCAACCGUGGAGGGUCAUUGGAAACUGGGGAACUUGAGUGCAGAAGAGGAAAGUGGAAUUCCAAGUGUAGCGGUGAAAUGCGUA